UCACUUACUCACUUAGGCUGUGGCUACGGGUACGGCAGCCGUAUCUUAAUGUCUCGAGGCUGGAGGUACGGCAGUCCAUUCGCUUUCAUACUUAACGAGACAAAGAUAGAGCUGACAGUAGAGGUUCUCCGAGGAGACCUAGACUAGUCCGAAGAGAAUCUGUGAAUCUGUGAAAAGAUGGCGGCAGCUGUCCCUAAGCGGGGUCUGUUACUCUCCACACAGACUUUGGUGAUAUAAAGGUGGAGUUGUUCUGCGAUCAGUGUCCAAAAGCCUGUGAGAAUUUUCUAGCAUUGUGUGCGAGUGAUUACUACAAUAAUACGAUCAUUCACAGAAAUAUAAAAGGAUUUAUGGUUCAAAUGGGUGAUCCAACAGGUACAGGAAAAGGAGGAACAA